rnacentral:rRNA from 1 species
GACAGAGGGUGCAAACGUUGUUCGGAAUGACUGGGCGUAAAGGGCGCGUAGGCGGUUUGGACAGUCAGAUGUGAAAUUCCUGGGCUCAACCUGGGGGCUGCAUUUGAUACGUUCGGACUAGAGUGGGGAAGAGGGUCGUGGAAUUCCCAGUGUAGAGGUGAAAUUCGUAGAUAUUGGGAAGAACACCGGUGGCGAAGGCGGCGACCUGGUCCUUGACUGACGCUGAGGCGCGAAAGCGUGGGGAGCAAACAGG